rnacentral:rRNA from 1 species
AGAACGAACGCUGGCGGCAUGCCUAAUACAUGCAAGUCGAACGAACUCUUCGGAGUUAGUGGCGCACGGGUGCGUAACGCGUGGGAAUCUGCCCCUUGGUUCGGAAUAACAGUUGGAAACGACUGCUAAUACCGGAUGAUGACGAAAGUCCAAAGAUUUAUCGCCAAGGGAUGAGCCCGCGUAGGAUUAGCUAGUUGGUGAGGU